rnacentral:rRNA from 1 species
UACGUAGGGUGCAAGCGUUGUUCGGAAUUAUUGGGCGUAAAGAGCUCGUAGGCGGUCUGUUGCGUCUGCUGUGAAAACUCGGGGCUCAACUCCGAGCUUGCAGUCGAUACGGGCAGGCUAGAGUUCGGCAGGGGAGACUGGAAUUCCUGGUGUAGCGGUGAAAUGCGCAGAUAUCAGGAGGAACACCGGUGGCGAAGGCGGGUCUCUGGGCCGGUACUGACGCUGAGGAGCGAAAGCGUGGGGAGCGAACAGG